AUGGAGUUUCUCUUCCUUGACGAGGAGGACUGGGCGGAGAUGGAGGCGGAUGAGGAGAAGGAGGUGGAGAGGCGCCGGCGGGAGGAAGAGGAGAAGGCGCGGAAGGCGGAGGAGAACCGACGGAGACGCGAGGCACACGAUGCGGUCAUGGACUCCAUCAUCCAGCACGACCCCAAGGCUGGGCGCAAGGUCUACACCCGGUUCUUUCUCAGAGAUUUCUCCGUCUUUGACAUCGACGAAGAGUCGUCUGUCCCUCCAAUGCGAUACACCGAUAGUACCUACCAAGAUGAAUUUGGGCUAGAAGACUCUGCAAACAUCCUCUCCGUCAGCAUAGUCUCCUCAGAUGCAGGCUUCCCAGUCGAUGUCUAUGGCCGUGUGAUUGCCAGAGACAGCAUUGACUACAAGUGCAUUUAUCUCUUUCACCGCAAUAGAGAUGAUUCCCAGCGUGUCAACGAGGAUGGAAUGCUGAUUUUAACCGGCCCAGGUCGAGGUCUAGUGCUGGUUGAUUUCAUCUAUCUAGAGACAGAUCUUAAAAUCAGGGAAGAUGGAGUGUUUCCAGACAGGCCAUUUAGCAAGGGUCUAAUAAGUAUUGAUGGCCGAGUACUGUCUAGAGAGGAAGAUGUCGUGGUUAGAAGGGAAACCCUUGAGAGCUGGCUCAGCACCACGGAAGUGAGAUUCGCAACUGUUCUCAAAGCAGUUGAGUGCACCAUUGAAAUCAAGCUUCUUGAGGGCCGUUUUAAAGGAAAUAUAAUAGUUGGCAUAUCAGAUAAAGAUCGCAAUCUGGCCACUGAACAAACAAUUGUGAUUCAUGAUAGCAGGACAGAUGGCAUGGUGACAAGUGAUCGAAGUGGAGUUAUCAAACUCCGGCGAAGUGUCAUUACUAUCUGUCUAGAAAGAAUGCUGGUGUUUCAGAUUAAUAAUAAGGCUGCUGGUGGUUGUGCUCAACGAACCUUUGAUUUAACACCGCGCCGCACUGGUGCAGAUGAAUUGGUCAUUAGGUGUGGUGCUGUAAAGUUUGGAUUCAGGGUCGUCUGGUCCUUGAUGGACUUUAGGCUGUAA
rnacentral:rRNA from 1 species